rnacentral:rRNA from 1 species
GGGAGGCAGCAGUAGGGAAUCUUCCACAAUGGGCGAAAGCCUGAUGGAGCAACGCCGCGUGAGUGAAGAAGGUUUUCGGAUCGUAAAACUCUGUUGUAAGGGAAGAACAAGUACAGUAGUAACUGGCUGUACCUUGACGGUACCUUAUUAGAAAGCCACGGCUAACUACGUGCCAGCAGCCGCGGUAAU